UUGGAGGGCAAGUCUGGUGCCAGCAGCCGCGGUAAUUCCAGCUCCAAUAGCGUAUAUUAAAGUUGUUGCAGUUAAAGAGCUCGUAGUUGAAUUUCGGGAUCAAUAUAUUGGUCGUGCCUCUGGUAUGCACUGGUAUUAUUGAUUUCUACCUUCUGACAAACUGUGAUGUCAUUAAUUUGGUGUCAUGGGGAAUCAGGACUGUUACUUUGAAAAAAUUAGAGUGUUUAAAGCAGGCACACGCUUGAAUACAUUAGCAUGGAAUAAUGAAAUAGGACGUUUGACCCUAUUUUGUUGGUUUCUAGGAUCGACGUAAUGAUUAAUAGGGAUAGUUGGGGGCAUUAGUAUUCAAUUGUCAGAGGUGAAAUUCUUGGAUUUAUUGAAGACUAACUACUGCGAAAGCAUUUGCCAAGGAUGUUUUCAUUAAUCAAGAACGAAAGUUAGGGGAUCGAAGACGAUCAGAUACCGUCGUAGUCUUAACCAUAAACUAUGCCGACUAGGGAUCGGAUGAUGUUAAUUUUUUAAUGACUCAUUCGGCGCCUUACGGGAAAC
rnacentral:rRNA from 1 species